AGAGUCUGAUCCUGGCUCAGGAUGAACGCUAGCGGCAGGCCUAAUACAUGCAAGUCGAACGGUAAAUAUUUAGCAAUAAAUAUGAGAGUGACGUACGGGUGCGUAACACGUAUGCAACCUACCCUUUACAGGCGGAUAGCUCGGGGAAACUCGAAUUAACCCGCCGUAAUAUAAUUGGAUGGCAUCAUCUGGUUAUUAAAUCUACGGAGGUAAAGGAUGGGCAUGCGUCUGAUUAGUUAGUUGGCGGGGUAACGGCCCACCAAGACGAUGAUCAGUAGGGGAACUGAGAGGUUGAUCCCCCACACUGGCACUGAGAUACGGGCCAGACUCCUACGGGAGGCAGCAGUAGGGAAUAUUGGUCAAUGGAUGGAAGUCUGAACCAGCCAUGCCGCGUGCAGGAAGAAGGCCUUCUGGGUUGUAAACUGCUUUUGCCAGGGGAUAAAAUGACCUUGCGAGGUUAAUUGAAGGUACCUGGUGAAUAAGCCACGGCUAACUACGUGCCAGCAGCCGCGGUAAUACGUAGGUGGCAAGCGUUGUCCGGAUUUAUUGGGUUUAAAGGGUGCGUAGGCGGCUUAUUAAGUCAGUGGUGAAAUACUCUAGCUCAACUAGAGGGGUGCCAUUGAUACUGAUGAGCUUGAGUACAGAUGAGGUAGGCGGAAUUGACGGUGUAGCGGUGAAAUGCUUAGAUAUCGUCAAGAACACCUAUAGCGAAGGCAGCUUACUAGGCUGUAACUGACGCUGAGGCACGAAAGUGUGGGGAUCAAACAGGAUUAGAUACCCUGGUAGUCCACACUGUAAACGUUGAUUACUCGCUGUGUGCGAUAUACAGUACGCGGCCAAGCGAAAGCGAUAAGUAAUCCACCUGGGGAGUACGCCGGCAACGGUGAAACUCAAAGGAAUUGACGGGGGUCCGCACAAGCGGUGGAGCAUGUGUUUAAUUCGAUGAUACGCGAGGAACCUUACCUGGACUAGAAUGCCCUUGACCGAUCCAGAGAUGGAUUUUUCCGCAAGGACAAGGAGCAAGGUGCUGCAUGGCCGUCGUCAGCUCGUGCCGUGAGGUGUUGGGUUAAGUCCCGCAACGAGCGCAACCCCUAUUUUUAGUUGCCAACAGGUUAAGCUGGGGACUCUAAAAAGACUGCCCGCGCAAGCGGAGAGUAAGGAGGGGACGACGUCAGGUCAUCAUGGCCCUUACGUCCAGGGCUACACACGUGCUACAAUGGCGUAUACAGAGUGUUGCAAACCAGCGAUGGUAAGCCAAUCACAAAAAGUACGUCUCAGUUCGGAUUGCAGGCUGCAACUCGCCUGCAUGAAGUUGGAAUCGCUAGUAAUCGCGCAUCAGCAAUGGCGCGGUGAAUACGUUCCCGGACCUUGUACACACCGCCCGUCAAGCCAUGAGAGUCGGGAGGACCUGAAGGCAGUUGCUGUAAGGCGCUGUUUAGGGUUAAACCGAUGAUUAGGGCUAAGUCGUAACAAGGUA
rnacentral:rRNA from 1 species